GAUGAACGCUGGCGGCGUGCCUAAUGCAUGCAAGUCGAGCGAACAGAUGAGGAGCUUGCUCCUCUGACGUUAGCGGCGGACGGGUGAGUAACACGUGGAUAACCUACCUAUAAGACUGGGAUAACUUCGGGAAACCGGAGCUAAUACCGGAUAAUAUAUUGAACCGCAUGGUUCAAUAGUGAAAGACGGUUUUGCUGUCACUUAUAGAUGGAACCGCGCCGCAUUAGCUAGUUGGUAAGGUAACGGCUUACCAAGGCAACGAUGCGUAGCCGACCUGAGAGGGUGAUCGGCCACACUGGAACUGAGACACGGUCCAGACUCCUACGGGAGGCAGCAGUAGGGAAUCUUCCGCAAUGGGCGAAAGCCUGACGGAGCAACGCCGCGUGAGUGAUGAAGGUCUUCGGAUCGUAAAACUCUGUUAUUAGGGAAGAACAAAUGUGUAAGUAACUAUGCACGUCUUGACGGUACCUAAUCAGAAAGCCACGGCUAACUACGUG
rnacentral:rRNA from 1 species